rnacentral:lncRNA from 1 species
AAUUAAUCAAAUAUACUAAAUUACAAUUUUGGCCCUCAAACUAUAAUAAAGGUGACACUUCAGUCUUCAAACUUUAAUUUGUUACAAUUUUCGACUCGCACAUUUGAUAUUAUUAUUAUAUCUGAGCCUCAUUAUACAAUUUACUCGACAAGAACAUUGUCGCAUCACUAUUUAUCAUUCAGUUAACUAGAUUAUAUUAUAGGACUCGAUUGCUACAAUCUAGAGUUGGAGCCUAAAAUUGCAAUAAAUUAAAGUUUAG